GACGAACGCUGGCGGCGUGCUUAACACAUGCAAGUCGAACGGAAAGGCCCCUUUGGGGGUACUCGAGUGGCGAACGGGUGAGUAACACGUGAGUAACCUGCCCUUGACUUCGGGAUAACUUCAGGAAACUGGGGCCAAUACCGGAUAGGAAUCCUUGCUGCAUGGUGGGGGUUGGAAAGCUUCGGCGGUUUUGGAUGGACUCGCGGCUUAUCAGCUUGUUGGUGGGGUAGUGGCUUACCAAGGCUUUGACGGGUAGCCGGCCUGAGAGGGCGACCGGCCACAUUGGGACUGAGAGACGGCCCAGACUCCUACGGGAGGCAGCAGUGGGGAAUAUUGCACAAUGGGCGGAAGCCUGAUGCAGCAAGGCCGCGUGCGGGAUGACGGCCUUCGGGUUGUAAACCGCUUUCAGCAGGGGCGAAGCUUGUGGUGACGGUACCUGCAGAAGAAGCACCGGCUAACUACGUG
rnacentral:rRNA from 1 species